rnacentral:rRNA from 1 species
UACGGGAGGUGCAAGCGUUGUUCGGAAUUACUGGGCGUAAAGCGCACGUAGGUGGCGACGUAAGUCGGGUGUGAAAGCCCCGGGCUCAACCUGGGAAUUGCAUUCGAGACUGCAUUGCUGGAGUACGGAAGAGGAAGGCGGAAUUCCCGGUGUAGCGGUGAAAUGCGUAGAUAUCGGGAGGAACAUCAGUGGCGAAGGCGGCCUUCUGGUCCAGUACUGACACUCAAGUGCGAAAGCGUGGGGAGCAAACAGG